GUGCCAGCCGCCGCGGUAAGACAGAGGGGGCAAGCGUUGCUCGGAAUUACUGGGCGUAAAGGGCGCGUAGGCGGGAUGGCAAGUCGGUUGUGAAAUCCUUCGGCUCAACCGAAGAACGUCGAUCGAUACUGCCAUUCUUGAGGGAUGCAGAGGAGACUGGAAUUCCCGGUGUAGCGGUGAAAUGUGUAGAGAUCGGGAGGAACACCGGUGGCGAAGGCGGGUCUCUGGGCAUCUCCUGACGCUGAGGCGCGAAAGCGUGGGGAGCAAACGGGAUUAGAAACCCGAGUAGUCC
rnacentral:rRNA from 1 species